GAGUUUGAAGGAGGGACAAAAAGGUGCUCCAAUCAAGAGAGAACAGUAACAGGGAAAGAUGAAUGAUUCAGGUAUCAAAUAAAAACACACAGGAGAGAAGCAGCGAAGCGGACGGUUCCCUACCAUGCCCUGAGGCAAGCC